AACGAACGCUGGCGGCGUGCCUAACACAUGCAAGUCGAGCGCGAAAGGAGCAAUCCGAGUAGAGCGGCGCACGGGUGCGUAACACGUGGGUAAUCUGCCUCAUGGUUGGAGAUAACUUUCUGAAAGGAAAGCUAAUAUCCGGUAAGCUUACGGAGUCCUUGGACUCUGUGAGAAAACUAGACCUCUAUUUAUAAGUUUAGGCCAAGAGAUGAGCCCGCGGCCCAUCAGCUAGUUGGCGGUGUAACGGACCACCAAGGCGACGACGGGUAGCUGGUCUGAGAGGAAGAUCAGCCACACUGGAACUGAGACACGGUCCAGACUCCUACGGGAGGCAGCAGUGGGGAAUUUUCCACAAUGGGCGAAAGCCUGAUGGAGCAACGCCGCGUGUGUGAUGAGGGUCUUCGGAUCGUAAAGCACUUUCGACUGGGACGAAAAACCUUUGGCUAACAUCCAGGGGCCUGACGGUACCAGGAGAAGAAGCACCGGCUAACUCUGUGCCAGCCGCCGCGGUAACAC
rnacentral:rRNA from 1 species